GGGAACGGAGGUGGGGGUAGAGAAUGCACGCAUCAGGGUGACGCUCACCCAAAUACAGGAAUCCAUCUUCUUCCAGAUUCCCAACUCGAGAGGGUAGACUACGGCUUAUUUUAGAAUUCUGUUUUCGUAGCAGAUUGAGCAAGCGGUGUAUGCUUAGCGUGUGUGUAUAGAAGGAGGUGGGCAGUGCUUUGAAAGUGACUUCUCUCUCUCUCUCUGGUUUCACUUCUCAUCUCAGAGGGCCGAUAUGGUUUGCAUCUCAAAAGCUCUGUCCAGCUUCUGGCAGGGAAGCAAGGCUGGCUCCUUGUCCCGCCCCCAUCACCAGGAGGCAGACCAUGCCAUGAACUCUCCUUGUGGACUUCUGAAUGUGUCACCUCUGGGCUGAGAAGUCAUUCUUGGAGGUGGCUUAGACUCUGCUGGCCUGGCAGACACUGCUGGUUUUCACCUCACGCCCCUUCACAUCAGCGGCUUUCUUCUCCAGUGACCUGUAGUUUUUGGUGUAAGUGGCCAAGGCAGGUGGACAAAUGUCCGAGAGUGGCCAUUUCUGGGAGUGGCUUUGGUGACGCAGUCCACCUUUUCUUUGUCCCCUGAGUGGGGACAGUACCGCUUUGCCUGAGUCCUCGGCCCUUCCCUGUCCACCGGCUCCCGUAUGCCGCUUCUCUUCCUUCUGCCCUAGUUCACCAAUCAACACAGGGAAGAAAGGGCUCCUCGGGCUUACAGGUGACAGCCCAUUACUGAGGGACAUCAGGGCAGGAACUGAAGCAGAGGACACAAAUGAACGUUCCUUACUAGCUUGCUCAGCCUGCUUUCUUAUACAAGCCAGGACCACGUACUGUGGGGUGGCGGCACCAGCGAGCUGGUCCCUCCUACAUCAAUCAUUAAUCAAGAAAACAUACCACAGACAUGCCCAAGGGCCAGUCUGAUGAAGGCAAUUCCUCAAUUGAGGUUGACUCUUCCCAGGUGAUUGGCGUUUGUGUCCAGUUGGCAAACACCAACUGGCACCCCAUCUCAGUUCCGCAGAAUUGACCAGCAUAGCAUCUCCGUUCCGGGUUCCCCAGCAGACAUCCUGUGCUUACAUUCCAGUCCCAAGAUCAGGUUCUGGGAAACCCCAAGCUGAGAAUUUUGGAUUGUGUUCCCAGGAUACAGCCACUGCAAAAUGGGGUUACUCUCAGUUCGGGUUCUUCCCCCAAGACACGUGGCCCCAGGGACUGGGAGCGCUGUCCACAAAAGGUCUUCAGCUGUCAGUCUCCACCAGGCUUCCUCAGCUGCAAAGGCUGAGGUCUAACCUUGGCUCCAGAGCAGCUCUGAAGGGAUUGUCAAGUUCCAGAGACCCAGAGGGCACAAAGGAAAAAACACAACAAAACAUCUUGAAGUGCAGUACUUGGAUCUGCUGGACACUUUGAAACCAGGAGACUGGAAACCUCCGAGGCAGCCCGAGAAGCAAGCUCCCUCUGACCUUCUCCUGCCCUCCUGUCGCCUCCCUGUCUCCCUCCCCUAAAGUGAAUCAUAGUUCCCAGAAUUCCCCUUCCCCAGAGUGUACCACUGAGACUAGAACACCUCUCCCCCAAAGCCACCUCACAAGGCCACUCUCCCUUCUCCUCUGAAGCCCUCACUCCAGUGGGUCCAGUCUCCUUUCAGGGAGGAAGCAAGGCUGCCCAGAGAGGCCUCACUGGGUCCCCUCUCUGUCUUUUAUAUCAGGUCACACCUUUUGGGCGGAUCCAUUUGCUCAUGGCUAUCUCUUCUUCAUUAAUCAGAAGUGUGAAGACAUUUCCUGGGGGCUUUGGAUCUUCAU